UACAGGGGGUGCAAACGUUGCUCGGAAUCAUUGGGCGUAAAGCGCACGUAGGCGGUCUGUUAUGUCGGAUGUGAAAGCCCUUGGCUCAACUGAGGAAGUGCAUCCGAAACUGGCAGGCUAGAGUACUAAAGAGGAUCGCGGAAUUCCCGGUGUAGAGGUGAAAUGCGUAGAUAUCUGGAGGAACACCGGUGGCGAAGGCGGCAUCCUGGACCGACACUGACACUGAGGAGCGAAAGCCAGGGGAGCAAACGGG
rnacentral:rRNA from 1 species